AACAAAGUGAAUACAACUAUAUGUGAUGGAACUCUAACCCGCAUAUGCUGGGAAUCGUUCAUGUCCAUCACCUGUUCGAUCGUAGUAAAGGUGUCAUCCCCACGCUCUCUCGAAUACCAUUCGCCCUGGACUGUCUGCGAGAUAUGACAUCGUGGGUCGUAAUCGUAGUUUCCACCAAGCAGACUGGACGAGAAGGCUUCAGCGGUGAAGUUCGCGGUCGAACUGAAACUACAAUCGAAGUGGUAAUGCGGAGUACACCAAAAUAACGAAAAACAGAAGAUACCAAGUGAUCAGACAAGAUCUCGAAUAUAAAAAUUUCCAGGUGAGCAUGUUACAGAACGAACUCGUGUGGCACGUGAGGCGAGCCGUACAAACUGUAUUGCAUAGUCGUAGAGGAAUCACAGAGGGGUUUAGAUAUGAAGACAAGCCUCUUCCGGAUGUCUCCGCGCAGCGACGUCAAAAAGAAGCCAGCCUUAAGAUGACGCUGGUCUGUGAAAAAAACACAAUUUGACCUCUUCGAGAAGAAAGUAGUAAAUUUCGUUCUGCGCGGACAAAUCACUCAGAUGAAGACCGACACGGCCAUUUUAACUAAUAGCGAAGAAAUGACACUGGAAUUAAAGAUCGCUGAAAUGUAUAAAAAGCUGCAACUUUGUGCUGACGAGGUUUAUAUGAACUUUGGUGCUGGACGAAAGUGACCUGAAAAACGAAGUUUUGAGAAGCAUACCGCAGCAAACAUCAAAUAGUGCUGGAACUUAAAGGGAGGCACAUCAUAAAAAUCUAAAACACCUUCCUUAAAUAUGUCAGGCGGGGGAACAUGCUCCUUAAAACCUGCCACCAGCAGUCACUCAAAUGGGCACAGAAACCGUCCUAGCCGAGAUCCAGAAGCUAAUAAAAAAGCUUCCGGCUGAUACCGGAAGGCUACGAAGAAUAAAGGACAUGAGAGUUUAGACACGUGCUUGAUCACCCACAAGUAAAUAUAUGAUGAUAUUCGAGAACAGCUGGAAAUUCGUCAGCGGUUUAAACGUCGACAGCAAAAUAUUGACCUAUACAUUAUUUGGGCCUAAAUGACCUAGGAUAUUGAUAGACCUCUCUUCUCUGCUGAGCAGGAUUUACUCUAAAUCGAAAGCUGACGAUUCACUGUCCGCAUCAAUGCAAGCAUGACAAAUGCCCGUUUGACGUUAAAGAAAAUUCCUCAAGGACGAACUUCUACAGCUAAACCCCUAAAUGAAUGCAUCAGCAAGCGUCUAUGGAAAAUAUGAGUGGAAAUAGUGAUGACUCUAUAAAUACAGGGCUAUCGAAAUCUCUUA
rnacentral:lncRNA from 1 species